rnacentral:rRNA from 1 species
UACGCAGGGGGCUAGCGUUGCUCGGAUUGACUGGGCGUAAAGGGCGCGUAGGCGGUUUGUUUAGUCAGACGUGAAAUUCCUGGGCUUAACCUGGGGGCUGCGUUUGAUACAUGCAGGCUUGAGUUCGGAAGAGGGUCGUGGAAUUCCCAGUGUAGAGGUGAAAUUCGUAGAUAUUGGGAAGAACACCGGUGGCGAAGGCGGCGACCUGGUCCGAUACUGACGCUGAGGCGCGAAAGCGUGGGGAGCAAACAGG